CGCGCCGCGGGGCUGAGGGGAGGCGGCGGCUCGGGGCCGGGGUUCUCCUCGGGGCGGGUGUCGUGGCGGCGGGCGCUCGCUCUCCCCCGCCGCGGGGAGGGGGAGAAGGCCGCCUUGCGGGGAGAGGCGGGGGACAGGGGAACGGAGGCGAUCGGGCCUCUGUUAGGCGCCGCUGAGCCCCCGGUUUGCACCGGGGCCGGGGGUGCCGAAGUACGGGGCGGGCGGCUGAAGCGCUUAAAGGCCGUUUUCUGGCGGAGAGGAUCCGGGGCCAAAUGCUUGCGCUGAGACUGCGAAGCCAGCUCGGAGCCAGGGAAGCCUCUAAGCGCAAACGCCGGCGAGCAGUUCUGUACAAGCUUGGUUUCAUCGCUUACCAGACUCGAGUUGUGGCUCGGAGAGGGUUUUUUCUUUCCCGUUGCUGUCCUUCCUCACUGAAGUGGAAGCAGUGAGCCAGGAAGGUAGCCUAAGUUCGCAGCUACCGUUCAGGAUUUUCUGCUUAGAGCUCACAAACGGACUGUUUCUCAACAUUAUUUGUAAAGUGUGGAGUCCAAAAUAGCAGUUCAAAAGAGUCAUAUGAGUAUCUCUAGUCUUGCUCCUUUCUGAAUGUGAUUUGUUUUCUUUUUUUUUCAACAGCAUCUGAAUUUUAUUCUUCAUUCUAGAUUGCUAUUCUAGAUGGCUACUACCCAAUGUAUCUAUAUGUUUGGUAUCUCUUUAUUAAGCACUGUUUUUCCCUUUGCUAAAUUUCAGUAGUUUUGAUCAGGGCCACUCAGUUUGUCAAACAUUUGAUUUUUUUCUUUUUAUUCCAUCUCAGCCAUUUUGUUACCCAGGUUAUUCAUAAGAAUACUGAAUAGGUCUUCCCUGGACAGGACAGAGCGUUGGAAAGCGGCAUGUGAAAUUUUCUCCUGCUUUAAAAACCCUUUACACACGGAAGAAAGCCACUUUCCCAUUAUUUUAUGUACAAGAAGUGAAGUUUCAAUAUAAAUCUUUGUUAAUUAACAAUUCCUAUGCAGAAUGAGUUUUCUCAGAAAAACAGGGGUUUGCCUUGUUUCCUAUGGAGGUUAAGGUUCUGUUUUCACAUAUCCGUCUAUGGGGGAGGUCUGCCUCUAUGUUCCCUGUCCUAAUAAUGAUUAUGAAAGCUGGCAUUUGGAUGGAGUAGAGUACCUUGGCUGAAGGAAAAGCUGCACUUGGGGUCAGCGGUUAAACCCAAUCAAGAAUUCACACUAAAACAAGUUUUCCUAAGUGCUCCCUCUAUAGGUGAGCCCUUCAGCUGGCGUUCACGCUCUUCACAAGGGUUUGUGUGACCUCAACCACAGGAAACAAAGCUGCAGGAAACCAGGCUGCAAGCAGCUUUGCCAGAUGGAUCAGACCUCUGCCCAGCAGUCCUCACUUCUCAAAGAGGGUCCCAUGGAUGUGAAGAAGGCUAAAGCCCAUUCUGUUACACCAGUCACACUGACAGAUUUCAGGUUUGACACAAGCAAAAUUGGCCUGGCGUGAUUGAAUUAAAUCUGAUCAGAAAAGGGAAUUUCCUUUUUCUAAAAGUGCAGAUUGCUGAUGGGGAGAAAAUACAGACACUGCAGAAUUUCCAGUGAAAUGAGUGGGUAUCUUUACUACCACUGCUUAGCCAUCGAACAGCCUGCUGAUGUGACUGGCAGUUCAGAGAGAAGGCAGCCCUACCUGUUUCUGCUCUGGCAGCCUGGGGCAUUUGGAAGCAUCAGCAGGGGCUCAGAUGUAUUUGGUCUCUUUACCUCCUGUGGAUAGAAAUCUGUGUUCCCCUCCUCUGGUGGUGCAAUAAAGAUAAACUUAACAUCAUGGAGAACACAUUGCGGAAAACAAGAAGCACAUUGUGAAUGAAAAACCUUAAAAAGUGACCAAGGGGCAUCGGCCCGAGGACUUCAGAUUUCUGUUACGGCUGAUGAACUUGGCUCAGAGUGUAUUUAGCAUGUCUUGAACUUAGACUACUGACUAAGAAUCUGAACCUAUUAAAGUAAAUCAGUCUUUGCAUCUGACACUGACUGGGGAACCAUUGCUGAAAGGAAGGCA